rnacentral:tRNA from 1 species
GCCAUCUUAGCUCAGCAGAUAGAGAGCAUGCUUUUAACCAUGUGGUUGUGGGUUCGAUUCCCACGACGGCG